AACAAAGUUUUGGAAAAUAUGGAAAAAAUCACAAAAUCCUUGAUAUCUCGGCUCUCCGCAGGAUUACAGAGAUGUCCUUUGCACCGAAGAUAGUCCCUGCUGAUCAACGUUUUAUGACAUCACUUUCGUCCUGAUCCUUCAAAGGACUUUCGAGAUACUUGACAUUUUGUGUCAAGCAGAAAAGUUCUUUUAUCUCAGCUUCCUGAAGGACAUUCCGGGAUCUGUUAGUGUCAGACAAUGCGGGUCGUCAAGGACUACCAUCUAACCAAAGGACAUUUUGGUGGUCCUUAAUUUGGCUGAGUUAUAAGGACAUUUGUGCUUUUUUGGCGACUUUUCGGUCAUUUUUCUGACUCUACCCCUUACACAAAUUCGAACGAUAUUUUUGGCAGGAUAUUGAAAAUCCUUGAAUGCCGAUCGAUAGUCCUGAUUCUGGAGGAGCAAAAAAGGUGUGUCCUGUCGAAAUCGCUCUAAAAUCCACGAAUCCUGCCGCAGGACGAAAGGACAUGGUUCUCUAGGAUGUCCUUGAUGAUCUCUAUAGAUUGGCAUCAAAAAAAGUUUGAAGGACAUUCCAGGACCUCAUAACAUCAGUGGAUGCGAAUGAAGAAGGUCUUCCAUCUGGCCAAAGGACAUCACGAUCAGGCUUAAAAUAGCCGAGAUAUGAGCAGAUUUGCGGU